rnacentral:rRNA from 1 species
GGAGUACGGCCGCAAGGCUAAAACUCAAAGGAAUAGACGGGGACCCGCACAAGUGGUGGAGCAUGUGGUUUAAUUCGAAGAUACGCGAAGAACCUUACCUAGCCUUGACAUAUUUUAGAACACUUUAGAGAUAGAGUGGUGCCUUCGGGAGCUAAUAUACAGGUGCUGCACGGCUGUCGUCAGCUCGUGUCGUGAGAUGUUGGGUUAAGUCCCGCAACGAGCGCAACCCUCGUCACUAGUUACUAACGGUUCGGCCGAGGACUCUAGUGAGACUGCCUUCGCAAGGAGGAGGAAGGUGAGGACGACGUCAAGUCAUCAUGGCCCUUACGGCUAGGGCAACACACGUGCUACAAUGGUUAGGACAAUGAGACGCAAUACCGCGAGGUGGAGCAAAUCUAUAAACCUAAUCUCAGUUCGGAUUGUUCUCUGCAACUCGAGUGCAUGAAGCUGGAAUCGCUAGUAAUCGCGGAUCAGCAUGCCGCGGUGAAUACGUUCCCGGGUCUUGCACACACCGCCCGU